CAGGCUGAUUCAAAGAGAAGGACAGUUCAGGAGUCAAGAAAAUGUUCCAGGUGACAGCGAGAGCCAUGUAGGGUUUGCAGCAGUGGGUGACAAGUAAGGGAAUAGUUCUUCGUAUCAGCUUCUCAUCAUGGAGACAAACUGGAGCCACGAAGCAAAGUGCGGACUCAGACACACACAGACCCGACUGACUUCAACAAUAAUAUCUUCAGAACUGUCAACAAGCAUGAUUAUUUCUGGCUUGAAUUUACAUCUCAGUUGAGCGAAGGAAGAAAGAAGUGAGGGGCUUGUAAUAAUGGCUUUCUCAUGCUAAGUUACAGACCUGCUUUGGUCUUGCCCACAUUUUGAAGUUACAUGGACCUGUUUCUCUACUAUGAAGUCUCAGGGUUCAAGAUCGCUUCCUAAGAUGGUCGACAACAGCCUGCAACACCUCCUUCCUAAGAUGGUCUACAACAGCCUACAAUACCUCCAGUUCUGGGGUAUCUAAUGCCACUUUCUGGUUUUCACUUUUAUUUUCACACAAGUGGAACAUGCACACAUAUGCAAAAUGAAAAUAAAUCUUAAAAAGGGAGAAUGACACCUGACACCAGAGGAGAAUUUACCAAGAAUGAAAGACCAUGCUGUAUGUUGUAGGGGAAUUAGAAAU
rnacentral:lncRNA from 1 species